UAAUGUAUGGGGAUCUGCCCGAUAGAGGGGAAUAACUACUGGGAACGGUGGCUAAUACCGCAUAAUGUCUACGGACCAAAGCAGGGGCUCUUCGGACCUUGCACUAUCGGAUGAACCCAUAUGGGAUUAGCUAGUAGGUGGGGUAAAGGCUCACCUAGGCGACGAUCUCUAGCUGGUCUGAGAGGAUGAUCAGCCACACUGGGACUGAGACACGGCCCAG
rnacentral:rRNA from 1 species